ensembl:lncRNA
CCCUCUGCGGAGUGCGCCCCGCCUCCGCCUCUCUGAGGAGGGGCCGUGAGGGCACAGCUCCGGGCGCGCAGCCAGAGCCGGCCGGCGGCACUGGGAGACUGCAGGCCCUGAGUUGGGCAGCGCGCCCAGCGCCGAGGAACUCCCGUGUAGAAGGAGCUGCGGAGCCACAGCUGCCCCACGGGACGCGGAUGAGUGGUAAAUCCAGGACCUGCCUUCGGCAAACGCCGGCCGCUCCCCGGCGCUCCCGAAGCCGCCCCGCCGGCCGCAGAGGAAGGGAAUGAGAAUCGGCCCCGCCGCCGUGGGAGAGGGGACGGGACCCCCCCGGGCAGCCCCGCGCUGGGCCGCGUAAAGUGCAUGAUAUUGCAGGAGCCAGGCCCGGCCCUCCUUGCAAGGUGUUUUGCCAUCCAGCGGCCCCCGGCUCCUCCUGCGCCCCGGGAUAACCGCCUGCUCCGCCAUCUUGUCGGCCUCGCGCUGCCUCCAGGAGCCGCCCGUCGCCUCCUUCCAUCGCUGCCGAGCUCCGAGCUUCAAUCCGUGCUGCAGGACGGGGCGAGCGCCUUCCCACACAGCGGGCCUGGAAUGUGCCACGCUCAGAGCCAACACCACCACACCCAGCAGCAGCGCCCUGCCGGGCACCGCCGCAGCCACGGGAGGACGAGGAGGGACCCGCAGCACGCACAGACGUCCCCAAAACCUCCCGGCACGGAGCUGAGCUGCUCUUCCAACGGCCAUCUUCUCAAUCUGCUCCCGGCCCCGUGGCAAAUAUCUGCUGAGAGACGGUCGCCGCGCCGCCCCGCGUACCAUCACCACUCGCUUCACGGUUCUUUUUAACUUUUUUUUUUUUUCCUUUUUAAUUUUUUUUUUUUUUCAUCUUCUAUUUUAAAAGAGAAGCCGGCGAGGUGGGUUUUCUUUUCCGCCAACGAGAGAAGCUGCCCCUCAGUGCAGAGCGGAGCAGCUGGGGAGCGAAGCGCCUCGGAACCGCGCCGGGGAGCGGCCGCAUCCCGACGAGUCGCCCUCCGCUGUCACGGAGUGAUGGACCACUCAAUAUGAGGGGAUCACUGCAGCCAACUCCUGCGCCCGUUACCCCGGGGCGGCCGGAAGCACGCGGGGUAACGCAGCGUUUCCGUUUUCUCUUGGGAGGGAGCGGGGAAAAUCGAAGCAGUUUUGACUUUGACGGAGCCGUGGGAUUUGAUUCUUGGGCUGAUCCACGCGGGCGGCCGGCCCGGACGUCUCGGCUAUUUACACGAGGUUCUGGGGCGCUAUACAAGAUUUACAUUUCCGUUUGUACAGCAGAUGCUUUGAUAGAGUCGCGCUCUCAAACCGUCCCUUCCGGGGCGACAGAAAUCUGGAAGCUCCACAAACCCGGCGUUCCCCUUCCGGAUAAAAGCCUUUUGCCCGUCUCCUACAGAAUCCAAGCCAUUGAAAAAGAAAAACAAAAACAAAAACCAACCAAGCGAAACAACCACCUCAUAUCUAUACACACAUACAGGGCUGUGUGUAUACAGACACAGAAGGAACAACCGAACCGCCGCCACGCGAAGCCCGGCUCUGCCCGCUGGCGUUGGGGAGCAGGAGGGGAGUCGGCUCCCACCACCGAGCACGGCAGACCACCACCACAACCCCUCUCCUCCCCUCGCGGGGUGCAUCCGGGCCUCGCUCAGCCUCUCCGUGUGGCUGCGGCCAGAAAACACCGCACCGCUCUGCUUGUUCUCUCUUUGUUGCUGCGAGAUUUCUUCCCCCGACGCGCUCUGCUCUUCUCACCCGUGUGCUGGAAGGUCAAAUGGAGCUGUGGGAGGUUUCUGUACAUAGAUACAGCGCUCAGAGCCGGCGCCGGGUGGGACAGAUGUGCUGGGUGUUGGGUUUUUUUUGGCUUGCGUGAUGUUUGCCUCUUCCCUUUUCCACGUGGCUCCUAAGCGGCGCUACCACGGAGUAAGAAAGGUAAGGCGAAUUCAGCCAAAAAAAAAUCC